GACGAACGCUGGCGGCGUGCCUAAUACAUGCAAGUCGAGCGCAGGAAAUCGACGGAACCCUUCGGGGGGAAGUCGACGGAAUGAGCGGCGGACGGGUGAGUAACACGUAAAGAACCUGCCCUCAGGUCUGGGAUAACCACGAGAAAUCGGGGCUAAUGCCGGAUGGGUCAUCGGACCGCAUGGUCCGAGGAUGAAAGGCGCUUCGGCGUCGCCGGGGGAUGGCUUUGCGGUGCAUUAGCUAGUUGGUGGGGUAAUGGCCCACCAAGGCGACGAUGCAUAGCCGACCUGAGAGGGUGAUCGGCCACACUGGGACUGAGACACGGCCCAGACUCCUACGGGAGGCAGCAGUAGGGAAUCUUCCACAAUGGACGAAAGUCUGAUGGAGCAACGCCGCGUGAACGAUGAAGGCCUUCGGGUCGUAAAGUUCUGUUGUAAGGGAAGAACAAGUGCCGCAGGCAAUGGCGGCACCUUGACGGUACCUUGCGAGAAAGCCACGGCUAACUACGUGCCAGCCGCCGCUGUAA
rnacentral:rRNA from 1 species